rnacentral:rRNA from 1 species
UGCGGGGGGGGCAAGCGUUGUUCGGAAUUACUGGGCGUAAAGGGCUCGUAGGCGGCCAACUAAGUCAGACGUGAAAUCCCUCGGCUUAACCGGGGAACUGCGUCUGAUACUGGAUGGCUCGAGUUUGGGAGAGGGAUGCGGAAUUCCAGGUGUAGCGGUGAAAUGCGUAGAUAUCUGGAGGAACACCGGUGGCGAAGGCGGCAUCCUGGACCAACACUGACGCUGAUGAGCGAAAGCCAGGGGAGCAAACGGG